AUGCAAGUCGAACGGCAGCACGGACUUCGGUCUGGUGGCGAGUGGCGAACGGGUGAGUAAUACAUCGGAACGUGCCCAGUCGUGGGGGAUAACGUAGCGAAAGCUACGCUAAUACCGCAUACGAUCUAAGGAUGAAAGCGGGGGAUCGCAAGACCUCGCGCGAUUGGAGCGGCCGAUGGCAGAUUAGGUAGUUGGUGGGGUAAAGGCUCACCAAGCCGACGAUCUGUAGCUGGUCUGAGAGGACGACCAGCCACACUGGGACUGAGACACGGCCCAGACUCCUACGGGAGGCAGCAGUGGGGAAUUUUGGACAAUGGGCGCAAGCCUGAUCCAGCCAUUCCGCGUGCAGGAUGAAGGCCCUCGGGUUGUAAACUGCUUUUGUACGGAACGAAAAGGCUCUGGUUAAUACCCGGGGCUCAUGACGGUACCGUAAGAAUAAGCACCGGCUAACUACGUGCCAGCAGCCGCGGUAAUACGUAGGGUGCAAGCGUUAAUCGGAAUUACUGGGCGUAAAGCGUGCGCAGGCGGUGAUGUAAGACAGAGGUGAAAUCCCCGGGCUCAACCUGGGAACUGCCUUUGUGACUGCAUCGCUGGAGUACGGCAGAGGGGGAUGGAAUUCCGCGU
rnacentral:rRNA from 1 species